AUUGAACGCUGGCGGCAGGCUUAACACAUGCAAGUCGAGCGGGGUGAUGGUGCUUGCACUAUCACUUAGCGGCGGACGGGUGAGUAAUGCUUAGGAAUCUGCCUAUUAGUGGGGGACAACAUCUCGAAAGGGAUGCUAAUACCGCAUACGUCCUACGGGAGAAAGCAGGGGAUCACUUGUGACCUUGUGCUAAUAGAUGAGCCUAAGUCGGAUUAGCUAGUUGGUGGGGUAAAGGCCUACCAAGGCGACGAUCUGUAGCGGGUCUGAGAGGAUGAUCCGCCACACUGGGACUGAGACACGGCCCAGAAUCCUACGGGAGGCAGCAAUGGGGAAUAUUGGACAAUGGGGGGAACCCUGAUCCAGCCAUGCCGCGUGUGUGAAGAAGGCCUUAUGGUUGUAAAGCACUUUAAGCGAGGAGGAGGCUUACCUAGUUAAUACCUGGGAUAAGUGGACGUUACUCGCAGAAUAAGCACCGGCUAACUCUGUGCCAGCCGCCGCGGUAAUAC
rnacentral:rRNA from 1 species